rnacentral:rRNA from 1 species
AAUCACUUGUCUUUUAAAUAAAGACCCGUAUGAAUGGCACAACGAGGGCUUUACUGUCUCCUUCUCUUCGUCAAUGAAAUUGAUCUCCCCGUGCAGAAGCGGGGAUAUAAACAUAAGACGAGAAGACCCUAUGGAGCUUUAGACAAAAGGCAGCCUACGUUAAAACCCCUGAAUUACCAGGGCUAAACACAGUAUCCCCCCGCCAACAUGUCUUCGGUUGGGGCGACCGCGGGGGAAAACUAAGCCCCCAUGUGGACUGGAAAAACUUUUUUCCACAACCAAGAGUUACAACUCUAAGCAACAGAAUUUCUGACCAAAACGAUCCGGCUACUGCCGAUUAACGGACCAAGUUACCCUAGGGAUAACAGCGCAAUCCCCUCCCAGAGU